UACGUAGGGUGCAAGCGUUAAUCGGAAUUACUGGGCGUAAAGCGUGCGCAGGCGGCUAUGCAAGACAGAUGUGAAAUCCCCGGGCUCAACCUGGGAACUGCAUUUGUGACUGCAUGGCUAGAGUACGGCAGAGGGGGAUGGAAUUCCGCGUGUAGCAGUGAAAUGCGUAGAUAUGCGGAGGAACACCGAUGGCGAAGGCAGCCCCCUGGGCUAGCACUGACGCUCAGGCACGAAAGCGUGGGGAGCAAACAGG
rnacentral:rRNA from 1 species